rnacentral:rRNA from 1 species
UACAGAGGGUGCGAGCGUUAAUCGGAAUUACUGGGCGUAAAGCGUGCGUAGACGGUAAUGUAAGUCAGAUGUGAAAGCCCCGGGCUCAACCUGGGAAUUGCAUUUGAGACUGCAUUGCUUGGGUGCGGAAGAGGGAAGCGGAAUUUCCGGUGUAGCGGUGAAAUGCGUAGAUAUCGGAAGGAACACCAGUGGCGAAGGCGGCAUCCUGGACCAACACUGACACUGAUGAGCGAAAGCCAGGGGAGCAAACGGG